UACGGGGGGGGCAAGCGUUGUUCGGAAUUACUGGGCGUAAAGGGCUCGUAGGUGGCCAACUAAGUCAGACGUGAAAUCCCUCAGCUUAACUGGGGAACUGCGUCUGAUACUGGAUGGCUUGAGUUUGGGAGAGGGAUGCGGAAUUCCAGGUGUAGCGGUGAAAUGCGUAGAUAUCUGGAGGAACACCGGUGGCGAAGGCGGCAUCCUGGACCAACACUGACACUGAGGAGCGAAAGCGUGGGGAGCGAUCCGG
rnacentral:rRNA from 1 species